UACAGAGGGUGCGAGCGUUGUUCGGAAUUAUUGGGCGUAAAGGGCGCGUAGGCGGUGCCACAAGUCACUUGUGAAAUCCCCGGGCUUAACUCGGGGCCUGCAGGCGAAACUGUGGUGCUGGAGUGUGGGAGAGGUGCGUGGAAUUCCCGGUGUAGCGGUGAAAUGCGUAGAUAUCAGGAGGAACACCUGCGGUGUAGACGGCUAUCUGGACGGCCACUGACGCUGAGACACGAAAGCGUGGGUAGCAAACAGG
rnacentral:rRNA from 1 species